rnacentral:tRNA from 1 species
CCAGAGUUGGCCGAGCGGUUUAGGCACCGGACUCAUAAUCCGUGAGGGUUUCCUCAAGGCAGGUUCGACCCCUGCACUCUGGA